AGGACCUCAGGUUUGUAUAGUUAGGAAAAAUGCAAUUUUGGACAAAUUGUCAUUUUUAAAUAAGAUUUAAGCAAUAUAUACUGUAUUACUUAAAUUUUGUAAGUGUUCCUUUAGGCUAAUUAUUAUUUUAAUAUUUUUUUGGCAAGUUCUCUUAGGGUACAAUGAUUUUUUUCAAAUUUUCUAUUGUAACACUUGAAACAUUAUAAACCCAUGCAUCUAGUUUUCUGAGACUUGCCUACAAAUUCUGUACAAAGUUAAACUUUGUCGAAGUUAUUUUUUUAUUAAAUUUUGCUGAUGGUUACUGUUUCAUAAACUUGGUCAAGGGCUCAAAUUGUUGCAAAGAACCAUUAGAAGUGUUUACAAGAUGAAAUGUUACUAUGACUAGAUGAUCAUUCACAAAAGGUGGAGGGCCUAAACACUGCCAGUAUUGUGUGAUUUACUGCAAUAUUUGUUGGCUAUUUGGUAUUGUUGGUGUCCUUGAAGUUGCCUCCAAACAAUAUGAUAUUUUACUAUGUACAGAAAUUGUGGUUUUUCUACUGAGGUACUAAUCCAAACUACUCAUUACAGGCUUCACUAAACCAGUACAUAUUUCAUUAAUGUAAUGCUUUCUUAAGGCAAGGGGAAUGGCAGUGUAUAAUAGAAAUUAGUACCCAGCUUCUCAUAAGACCACUUAUGAAUGUGGGUGCAACGAGAUUUCAAGUUACAAAGUUUUAUGGCUUGUAUGAUAACUUGUUUCAUCAAUCACAGUCACAACUUAGAUGGCAACAUCUUCAAUUGUCAUCUUAUCAUGGCUAAAAUUAAAGAAGAUAGUAAUGUUUCUUUUGUUGAUUUCAAUGAUCACCAAAUGGAUUAGUUGAUUCUUUUUCACCUGAUUGCUAUGGCCCAAGAACUUUUGACUUCAUUUCUAAAUCUGGCUGAGAAAAUGAGAAAUAAAAAGCCUUUUACACGUCUUGUAAUUGCUGCUUGAAUCUAGUAUUCACCAAUUUCUAGGUGGUAUAACCUGAUAAAAGCCUGUUUUUGUGGGGUGAUGUUUCUCUCCCAUGCCAAACACUUGCAUAUACGUAUAUAUAAAUGUGUAUGUGAGCGAGACAUUCAAGAUCCUUUGGUUGAGGGAAACUUAUUUCUGUGCAAGUCAAAUGUCUCCUUCCUAUUUUUAUAUUAAAAGCCAUUAUAAGGUUUUUAAGUGGAAAACCGGGAUUGAAAUACCAUUUUCUGCCAUCUUGUUUUGUUGAUAGAAAGAACAUUGUAGGUGAAAUAACAUUGAGAAUUAGCUGAUUAAAUAGUAUGAAGCAAAUUAUUCAGGUAUAGUUAGACAAGAUAGAACAAAUUUCACUUGCUCUGAAUAAAUGUUCACUUGCUCUGACAUUAGAUUUAUUUCUCAUCGGGCAUCUUUUCUUUUCUCUAGCUCUUUUAGGAAUUCCCACACCAGAUCUCAUGGAAUUCCCGAAGCUGACGUUGUCAGGAGAUCUUCUGAGCGAGAGGCUGGAGAAGUCAGCUUAGAGGAGGGUGAACUCAGUGAAGAUGAAUUAGAGAAGAAGCGAGCACAACUUAUGAAGGAAUUAGAAAAUAUAAAUUAGUUCAUUUAUAUUAAAAAUGGUUUAGCUUUAGGGGUUUCUUUUGAUAAAAUUGUAUUUUGCCUCUAUUGUAAACUGAUGUCAGUCUCUUCAUAGUUCAAAAGUAAGCGUUGGGUAUAAGGAGUAAUGUUAAGUAGUUACAUUAAGUUGUGUAACUUAAUGAAGUUCAAAAUACAUUGUAUUAAUUUUGCUUGUUCCUCUGUAUAUUUUUUGGUAUACUAAACAUCACAAGACUAAUUUAUGUAAAACUGUUAUAUCAGAGAUAUGAUAAUGACAAAUCCUAAAACAGCAGUAGUCAUAGAUAAAUUUUUAUCCCAUUACUGGAAGUUAAUGCUACACCAACUUCCAUUAUAUUUUAAUACCCAGGUACUACACUUUAUUUUGGAAUGGGGAUUGUGAUCCUGUUAUACUGCAAGAAAUUUGAUACAUAUCUACUUCAUUGUGCUAAAUUUUUAAAACAUUAUUAAUGACAAUAUUAAUUGACAAUGCAAUAAAGCAUAGUUCUAUA